rnacentral:misc_RNA from 1 species
UCCGGUUUGUCACCGGCAGUCUCAUUAAAGUGCCCAACUUAAUGAUGGCAAUUAAUGACAAGGGUUGCGCUCGUUGCGGGACUUAACCCAACAUCUCACGACACGAGCUGACGACAGCCAUGCAGCACCUGUGUCUCGAUUCCCUUUCGGGCACUUUCACAUCUCUGCAAAAUUUCGAGCAUGUCAAGGGUAGGUAAGGUUUUUCGCGUUGCAUCGAAUUAAUCCACAUAAUCCACCGCUUGUGCGGGUCCCCGUCAAUUCCUUUGAGUUUUAAUCUUGCGACCGUACUUCCCAGGCGGUCAACUUCACGCGUUAGCUACGUUACCUAAUCUUUAUAUAGAUCCGACAACUAGUUGACAUCGUUUAGGGCGUGGACUAC